rnacentral:rRNA from 1 species
AUUGAACGCUGGCGGCAUGCCCUUAACCAUGCAAGUCGAACGGCAGCACGGGAGACAUCCGUGGUGGCGAGUGGCGAACGGGUGAGUAAUAUAUCGGAACGUCGCCCAGGUCGUGGGGGAUAACGUAGCGAAGCUACGCUAAUACCGCAUACGAUCUAUGGAUGAAAGCGGGGGAUCGCAAGACCUCGCGCGAUUGGAGCGGCCGAUAUCAGAUUAGGUAGUUGGUGGGGUAAAAGCCUACCAAGCCUUCGAUCUGUAGCUGGCCUGAGAGGACGACCAGCCACACUGGAACUGAGACACGGUCCAGACUCCUACGGGAGGCAGCAGUGGGGAAUUUUGGACAAUGGGCGCAAGCCUGAUCCAGCAAUGCCGCGUGCAGGAUGAAGGCCUUCGGGUUGUAAACUGCUUUUGUACGGAACGAAACGGUUCUUUCUAAUACAGAGAGCUAAUGACGGUACCGUAAGAAUAAGCACCGGCUAACUACGUG